rnacentral:rRNA from 1 species
CCUACGGGUGGCAGCAGUGAGGAAUAUUGGUCAAUGGACGAGAGUCUGAACCAGCCAAGUAGCGUGAAGGAUGACUGCCCUACGGGUUGUAAACUUCUUUUAUAAAGGAAUAAAACAAGGCACGUGUGCCUUUUUGCAUGUACUUUAUGAAUAAGGAUCGGCUAACUCCGUGCCAGCAGCCGCGGUAAUACGGAGGAUCCGAGCGUUUUCCGGAUUUAUCGGGUUUAAAGGGAGCGUAGAUGGGUUGUUAAGUCAGUUGUGAAAGUUUGCGGCUCAACCCUAAAAUUGCAAUUGUUACUGGCAGUCUAGAGUACAGUUGAGGUAGGCGGAAUUCGUGGUGUAGCGGUGAAAUGCUUAGAUAUCACGAAGAACCCCGAUUGCGAAGGCAGCUUACUAAACUGUGACUGACAUUGAGGCUCGAAAGUAUGGGUAUCAAACAGGAUUAGAUACCCGUGUAGUC